AACCACAGCCCAUUGGCGGCAAAUCCAUUAAUCAGAUAUCGCAGCGGCUGUUUUUUCGUCGGAAUUUCCGAAAAAAAGUAACAACUCGCUAGGUCGUUUGGUAGCACAGGGUACGUCACAACGCCGAUGCAUAAUGAUAUUAUAAUAUAUUCCGAUACGAAAACUAGAAAACGACCGACAGCCCGCGUACGCUUCCGAGAACUGAUUUACAAAAUCGAAUUCGAAUAC